UACGUAGGGGGCGAGCGUUGUCCGGAUUUACUGGGCGUAAAGGGCGUGCAGGCGGUGCGGUAAGUUUAGCGUGACAGUCUCCGGCUUAACUGGAGAAGGCCGCUGAAAACUGCUGGACUUGAGGGCCAGAGAGGGACAUAGAAUUCCGGGUGGAGUGGUGAAAUGCGUAGAUAUCCGGAGGAAUACCAAAGGCGAAGGCAGUGUCCUGGCUGGCAACUGACGCUGAGGCGCGAAAGCUAGGGGAGCGAACAGG
rnacentral:rRNA from 1 species